AGAGUUUCUGUCACAGUGUGACGAGAAAUUAAGCGUUCAAAUCAUAUCGUUCACAGUCGCCAUGGGGCACCUCCUCCAGCCUCUGUUGAUCAUCACCUGCGUUCCAUGGCUCCUCGGAUUCACGGCUACAACAAAUGCUCAAUCUUCUACUGACUCCACCUCUACAACUACU